UACGUAUGGUGCGAGCGUUAAUCGGAAUUACUGGGCGUAAAGCGUGCGCAGGCGGUUUUGUAAGACAGGCGUGAAAUCCCCGGGCUUAACCUGGGAAUGGCGCUUGUGACUGCAAAGCUGGAGUGCGGCAGAGGGGGAUGGAAUUCCGCGUGUAGCAGUGAAAUGCGUAGAUAUGCGGAGGAACACCGAUGGCGAAGGCAAUCCCCUGGGCCUGCACUGACGCUCAUGCACGAAAGCGUGGGGAGCAAACAGG
rnacentral:rRNA from 1 species